GACGAACGCUGGCGGCGUGCUUAACACAUGCAAGUCGAACGGAAAGGCCCUUCGGGGUACUCGAGUGGCGCACGGGUGAGUAACACGUGGGUGAUCUGCCCUGCACUUUGGGAUAAGCCUGGGAAACUGGGUCUAAUACCGAAUAGGACCACGCGCUUCAUGGUGUGUGGUGGAAAGCUUUUGCGGUGUGGGAUGGGCCCGCGGCCUAUCAGCUUGUUGGUGGGGUAAUGGCCUACCAAGGCGACGACGGGUAGCCGGCCUGAGAGGGUGACCGGCCACACUGGGACUGAGAUACGGCCCAGACUCCUACGGGGGGCAGCAGUGGGGAAUAUUGCACAAUGGGCGCAAGCCUGAUGCAGCGACGCCGCGUGAGGGAUGACGGCCUUCGGGUUGUAAACCUCUUUCAAUAGGGACGAAGCGCAAGUGACGGUACCUAUAGAAGAAGCACCGGCCAACUACGUG
rnacentral:rRNA from 1 species